GGAGGGAGCUGAAGAAUCGCUCCAGUCUUAAUCGGAGAGGAAAGUCCGGACUCCAUAGAACAGGGUGAUGGUUAACGACCACCGUUUCGAUAUUGUCGGAAUAGGGAAAGUACCACAGAAAAUAAACGGCCAAAUUAACCCUAAAGGUUAAAUGGCAAAGGUGAAAAGGUGUGGUAAGAGCACACCGCUUUAAUGGUGACAUUAAAGGCAUGGUAAACCCCACUUGGAGCAAGGUCCAAACUGAAAAAAGGAGUUGUUCGCUCCGUCAGAUUUUCUAUGUUGACCGCAUGACCCCGAUAGUAAUAUCGGGGCUAGAAAAAUGAUUCUUAACCCCGCCUCAAAAUGUUGUAAGAUAAUGCAGUAAAACUAAAAAAAAUAUUUUGGCAUUAUAACCUACAUUUUGGAGCUGGGUGAACAGAAUCCGGCUUACACGCUUCCUCCCGAU
rnacentral:RNase_P_RNA from 2 species